CCAAUACUAGUACUGUGUACUUAUGUACUAAAUAAUGUGCCUUUAUGUGUGUAGGUUACAGUUGGGUGGCGAGCAUUAAAUGAGUUUAAAACCGAAAAUAAAAUAUAGUUUAUACUUUGAAAAUAAAUGUUGAUUCCACACUGUAAAUUGAUAGUGUGAACUGCAUAUAAUAUCGUACAAGCGUAUAAAAAGUGUAUGGGCACCUCAGAUAUUGUAGCGAUACAUUGUGGACAGGUGUUAUCGAUUUUGCUUGUUUGCUCCCAUUCGUGAUACGUUAAUAUCGUAAAAUAGUCCUACCACCCCAAAAAAAAAUUCGCUCGCUAACGUUGAGGUGGUUGCUACGUCAAAGGUUCACGCAAAAUGAUUGUUCUGAUUCGCAUCGAAAACCUUAUGUAAAGCAUGGCAUAGUUUGUUUCAUUUUUACAACGUGUUUUCGCGGUAUCAAACAAGAACGGUGAUAAUAAUCGAUAAACGUGAUACGAAGUAUCAUAAUAUUCCUUAUGUCGAUUACCGUAUUUUUGCGCAUCGCAAUCAUUUUUUAAACUGAGAUUGCGAGGCAUGAACCAAUUAGAACAGACCGGUCGAGAAGCAGCCAUUUGUGCGUUGAUGACCGUCGAGUAGAGCAGUAUUUAUAAUUUGCAUAAAAGCCAUACUUUGUGAUAGCAAUUGAGAAAAUUAUGCCUCGUCUUCAUAUUCUUUGUUUACCUUUAAAAGAAAAUAACAUGGCGUCGAAAUUACAAACGUCAGCCAGAAAAUUACUUUUUUUCUUUUGCUUCAUCUUGUCGGAUCUUGUGUAGUUCGACGGAUUGAGUAAAAAUCCCCAAUGACGCAAGCUUAACGUAAGCAUUUGGUCUCGAAUACAACAGAUGGCGCCAUUGCUAAUUCAUGAAUGGCAAUAUCCUGAAUGGCUGAAAAGUCAUUCAAGAAAUAAACUAUCACGAGGAGAAACGGUUUCAGACGCUUGCCUGCAUCGAUUUGCAACCCUUUGCCUUGAGCACACAGCACGGAUUAAUGCUCUGUAAACGGAUAAAAAGAAGAUGCCCGAAGUGUAAGUGGUUCU
rnacentral:lncRNA from 1 species